AUAUAUCAACCUCUUCAGCUUUUUGUUGAGUGUUGGAUGUGGGGGGUUAUUAUUUCUUUUUGCUGGACUCUCUUGAGCUCAGCUCCCCUAAAAUGCAUUAGCAAAACAACUUGUUUACUGCUCAUUGGUGUGAUAACUAUCUACGCUAUUGACAGUGAAGCAUGGUUUAGCUUCUAACAGUCCAUUAACUUGGACAAACUCUUUUAUUA
rnacentral:misc_RNA from 1 species